CAAUGUUCUUUGUUCGUUGUGUUCGUAUAUAUGUGGGGCGAUGUUAUAACUUCAACGGCAUUUCAAUAUAACGAUUUAUUGCAGCAAAAAUGUUUUUCCUUCUGGCCUCAGUUUUCCUUCUACUAUCAACGAUGCAUGAAGAACGCCGGUCAUCAGCUUUAGCGGCGCAUGGUCGUUCCAGUUUUGGGAGAAGUUAUAUCAAUCAGCAGCGCCCGGCACCUCGUUCUACACCAAAAACAACAAGACGCCCUCCGAUUCCAGGCUGCCUUCGGAAUGGGCCGAAGUGUGGCGGCUAAAACAGUAUCAUUCAUGGUGGGCCCGAACACCAAGGCCUACGAGGAACUAUGUGAAACAGAAGACUGUACAUCCCUGGUCAGCACAACAUGAAUAAAGAAUAAAUAUUGUUUCAACAAGUCAUAAAA